rnacentral:rRNA from 1 species
UACGGAGGGGGCAAGCGUUAUUCGGAAUCACUGGGCGUAAAGGGCGCGUAGGCGGCUUCAUAAGUCUUGGGUGAAAGCCCUCGGCUCAACCGAGGAAUUGCCUUGGAUACUGUGAAGCUCGAGGCUGGAAGAGGGCAGUGGAAUUCCCGGUGUAGCGGUGAAAUGCGUAGAUAUCUGGAGGAACACCGGUGGCGAAGGCGGCAUCCUGGACCGGUAUUGACGCUGAGGCGCGAAAGCCAGGGGAGCAAACGGG